UUCCUACGGGCGGCAGCAGUAAGGAAUAUUGGUCAAUGGACGAAAGUCUGAACCAGCCAUGCCGCGUGAAGGAUGAAGGCCCUCUGGGUUGUAAACUUCUUUUAUAGGGGACGAAAAAAGGGAAUUCCUUCCCACUUGACGGUACCCUAGGAAUAAGCACCGGCUAACUCCGUGCCAGCAGCCGCGGUAAUACGGAGGGUGCAAGCGUUAUCCGGAUUCACUGGGUUUAAAGGGUGCGUAGGUGGGCAGUUAAGUCAGUGGUGAAAUCUCCGGGCUUAACCCGGAAACUGCCAUUGAUACUAUCUGUCUUGAAUAUCCUGGAGGUGAGCGGAAUAUGUCAUGUAGCGGUGAAAUGCUUAGAUAUGACAUAGAACACCGAUUGCGAAGGCAGCUCGCUACGGGAUUAUUGACACUGAGGCACGAAAGCGUGGGGAUCAAACAGGAUUAGAUACCCCUGUAGUC
rnacentral:rRNA from 1 species